UACAGAGGGUGCGAGCGUUGUCCGGAAUCACUGGGCGUAAAGGGCGCGUAGGUGGCGCGGCAAGCGUGCGGUGAAAGCCCGGGGCUCAACCCCGGGUCGGCCGUGCGAACUGCCGCGCUCGAGCAGAGUAGAGGCAGGUGGAAUUCCCGGUGUAGCGGUGGAAUGCGUAGAGAUCGGGAAGAACAUCGGUGGCGAAGGCGGCCUGCUGGGCUGUUGCUGACGCUGAGGCGCGACAGCGUGGGGAGCAAACAGG
rnacentral:rRNA from 1 species